AGAGUUUGAUCAUGGCUCAGGACGAACGCUGGCGGCGUGCUUAACACAUGCAAGUCGAACGAUGAAGCCGCUUCGGUGGUGGAUUAGUGGCGAACGGGUGAGUAACACGUGGGUAAUCUGCCCUGCACUCUGGGAUAAGCCUUGGAAACGAGGUCUAACACCGGAUAUGACACACGGAGGCAUCUCCUGUGUGUGGAAAGUUCCGGCGGUGCAGGAUGAACCCGCGGCCUAUCAGCUUGUUGGUGGGGUAGUGGCCUACCAAGGCGACGACGGGUAGCCGGCCUGAGAGGGUGACCGGCCACACUGGGACUGAGACACGGCCCAGACUCCUACGGGAGGCAGCAGUGGGGAAUCUUGCGCAAUGGGCGAAAGCCUGACGCAGCAACGCCGCGUGGGGGAUGACGGCCUUCGGGUUGUAAACCUCUUUCGACAGGGACGAAGCUUUCGGGUGACGGUACCUGUAGAAGAAGCACCGGCUAACUACGUGCCAGCCGCCGCGGUAAUAC
rnacentral:rRNA from 1 species